AUACGUAGGGAGCGAGCGUUGUCCGGAAUUACUGGGUGUAAAGGGAGCGUAGGCGGGAGUGCAAGUCAGAUGUGAAAUACAUGGGCUCAACCCAUGGGCUGCAUUUGAAACUGCGGUUCUUGAGUGAGGUAGAGGGAAGCGGAAUUCCUAGUGUAGCGGUGAAAUGCGUAGAUAUUAGGAGGAACAACGGUGGCGAAGGCGGCUUACGGGGCCUAUACUGACGCCGAGGAACGAAAACGUGGGGAGCAAACAGGAUUAGAAGCCCGGGUAGUCCACGCUGUAAACGAUGAUGACUAGGUGUGGGGGGACUGAACCCUUCCGUGCCGCAGUUAACACAAUAAGUGAUCCACCUGGGGAGUACGGCCGCAAGGUUGAAACUCAAAGGAAUUGACGGGG
rnacentral:rRNA from 1 species